CGCACUUCCUUCCAUGACAGGUAUGUCUUUAGUCGAUUCACCUUUGCACGAUCAUGGCGAAUUAAGAAAAAUAAAUCUUCCACAGUAAUAGAUCUUGAGCCACGUCGUAAAGCUAGCUCAUUUGCCUGAAUUAACAUCUCCAUCACUUGUCCACGUAUUAGCUCUUCGACUAAUUGUGUGGUUUCUGGGAGAGGAUCCUGCACCUCCCCUAGAAUGAACAUCAUUUGUUGAAUUUCAACACGAUAUUUACUGGUUCUGCCAGUCUCAGUCAUUCCGCAUUGCUUAUUUUUAACCACUUCCCAAAGUGGUGGGUAGUUGACAAGUUGCUGAACUCCAAACUGACAAGAAAAAUAUAGUUUCCAGUAAGAAGGACUAAUUGAUGGGGCAUAAAGUGCUUUAAGUUGAAAAAGAAAAACCAUUGUCAAACGUUUAGCUUGCAAAAAGCAAACAAAUUUUAUGAGAGCUGGAUACACUAUCCAAACUGCAAACCCAGUCCAUUCUUUCGUUACAGAACAUCCAGUACAACUAGUUAGUGAAGAAGUGUUAUUAGAAGAGUAACUCCUGUCUUUUUUUGAAGCAUAGGUUUAUUAA